rnacentral:tRNA from 1 species
AAAAGGGUAGUAUAGUAGUUAAGCACCUAAAAGACGCUAUAACGCCAUGACAUUAUAGGUUCGAAUCCUACCCCUUUUA